rnacentral:misc_RNA from 1 species
GAUGAAGAACGUAGCGAAAUGUGAUACGUAAUGUGAAUUGCAGAAUUCAGUGAAUCAUCGAGUCUUUGAACGCACAUUGCGCCCCCUGGUAUUCCGGGGGGCAUGCCUGUCCGAGCGUCAUUGCUGCCCUCAAGCACGGCUUGUGUGUUGGGCCCCGUCCUCCGAUCCCGGGGGACGGGCCCGAAAGGCAGCGGCGGCACCGCGUCCGGUCCUCGAGCGUAUGGGGCUUUGUCACCCGCUCUGUAGGCCCGGCCGGCGCUUGCCGAUCAACCCAAAUUUUUUAUCCAGGUUGACCUCGGAUCAGGUAGGGAUACCCGCUGAACUUAAGCAUAUCAAUAAGCGGAGGA